GACGAACGCUGGCGGCGUGCUUAACACAUGCAAGUCGAACGGAAAGGCCCUGCUUUUGUGGGGUGCUCGAGUGGCGAACGGGUGAGUAACACGUGAGUAACCUGCCCUUGACUUUGGGAUAACUUCAGGAAACUGGGGCUAAUACCGGAUAGGAGCUCCUGCUGCAUGGGGGGGGUUGGAAAGUUUCGGCGGUUGGGGAUGGACUCGCGGCUUAUCAGCUGGUUGGUGGGGUAGUGGCUUACCAAGGCUUUGACGGGUAGCCGGCCUGAGAGGGUGACCGGCCACAUUGGGACUGAGGUACGGCCCAGUCUGCUACGGGAGGCAGCAGUGGGGAAUAUUGCACAAUGGGCGGAAGCCUGAUGCAGCAAUGCCGCGUGCGGGAUGACGGCCUUCGGGUUGUAAACCGCUUUCGCCUGUGACGAAGCGUGAUUGACGGUAAUGGGUAAAGAAGCACCGGCUAACUACGUG
rnacentral:rRNA from 1 species